rnacentral:rRNA from 1 species
GACGAAGGUGGCGAGCGUUGUUCGGAAUCACUGGGCUUAAAGAGCACGUAGGCGGGCUGUCUUGCGCUUUGUGAAAUCCCCCGGCUCAACCGGGGAAUUGCAGGGCGAACGGGCAGUCUUGAGGCAGGUAGAGGUGUGGGGAACUCUUGGUGGAGCGGUGGAAUGCGUAGAUAUCAAGAGGAACGCCGGAGACGAAGGUGCCGCACUGGGCCUGUCCUGACGCUGAGGUGCGAAAGCCAGGGGAG